rfam:Felis catus breed Abyssinian Contig214478.1, whole genome shotgun sequence. [26-MAY-2016]
AAGACUAUACUUUCAGGGAUCAUUUCUAUAGUUUGUUACUAGAGAAGUUUCUCUGAACGUGUAGAGUACCAGAAACCACGAGGACGAAAUGCAGUGUCUUUUCCUGAGCGUGAAGUUGAUACUGGGCGUUGUUUCUGCAGCUACCCUUUAUCGUUGAUGAUCGUUCUUCUUCUCUUUUGGAGAAAGUAGAGGGAAAGGAUGCAGUCUGAGUGGU